rnacentral:tRNA from 2 species
GGGCUCGUGGUCUAGUUGGUUAUGACGCCGCCUUCACGAGGCGGAGGUCGGGAGUUCGAAUCUCCCCGAGCCCA